UUGUUCGGAAUUACUGGGCGUAAAGGGCGCGUAGGCGGCCUUCUAAGUCGGACGUGAAAGCCCCAGGCUUAACCUGGGAACUGCGUCCGAUACUGGGAGGCUUGGAUUCGGGAGAGGGAUGUGGAAUUCCAGGUGUAGCGGUGAAAUGCGUAGAUAUCUGGAGGAACACCGGUGGCGAAGGCGGCAUCCUGGACCGACAUCGACGCUGAGGCGCGAAAGCUAGGGGAGCAAACGGG
rnacentral:rRNA from 1 species